CUCACCACGAAAACCUUGUGAACAGGUGCAUUCAAAUCCGUCCACUACUCGUCUACAAGUGCCAUUGUUGAGGCAGGGUUCAUCAAUACAGUCUGUGAUGCGAUGACUGCAGUCCUCUCCUCCGAAACCAGGUGGAUGAACUUCUGGUUGUUUUACAUGGAUUCUCUUCAUGGUUGUGACAUUGAUGUUAAAAGAUUGGAUCUAGAUUAACAUUGGCAAGAAUUGGCCCAGACUUCUGCAGUGUCAAGUGAAGGAAGCUCCUCUCAUAAGAUUGCGAACUGGGAGUCUGAUGACACUGAGCGAGAGUGAUGGAGUGAGCAGAAUGCUGAAGAUGAAGCCAGAAUUAAGCCAAGUUCCUGGCUUUUCCCAAGACCUUUAAGGAUACGAUUGACCUCGGAAUCAGCUGUAAAGGAGGAUGAAACCUCUAUAUUUAGACUAUAAAGGUUAGACUAUAUUUCAGAAUAAUAUUAUCUAUAUUCAUUUAUUAUCUUUAUUCUGUGUUCAUGAAGUUGUCAUAUCUGUUAUUUAGAAUGGGACAGUGAUAUUGCAUCAAUUUGUCUCCUACUUCAUUUGAUUCCACCAUCACCACAAGGCUGCAAGGGAUGUGGAAAAACGUCCUCCUAUGAAGCUGAAAAACAUCUUCAAAAAGGCACUAACCAGAAGAACACCUUGAUUGCAUAGAAGAGACCACACAGCCAUACCUGCUCGCUGAUGGGACAAAGAGGAACAUCAUUCAUGGAAGCUACUCAACUGUCAACAACUAUCUUGCUGCAAUCUUGUUCAAAUCUACCUGUCAUAUUUGUUAAUGUCUUGGUAAAUUUGAUGAUUUUAUGUGUUUUAUUAACUUUUAUGUUUCCGUGCAACACUUAAUGAAUGUGACUGACUAAUUAACCUCUACACAUCUGGUAUAUGCUUUAAAGUUGCCAUU